CUGUGAGAUUACAUAUGCAUAUAGUGUUAAUGUUAUAAGAGUGUAGUAUCUACUCACAAAGUUAUCAGGUUAAAUAGUUUUAUCAACUAAUAAAAAUGUUAUUGCAUAACUAAUGUUAUAUACUGUAGCCCUGCCACGAUAUCCAGCGAGAAUUAUUUUGCUGAGUAUCGUAGUAAAAGUUAAGAUAUGAUGUUGAGAAUUUUUUUGAGUCGUGCAACAACAUAAACAGCAAACUAUAAUACAAAUCUAUCUUUUUAAAAGUUUGUAUUGCU
rnacentral:misc_RNA from 1 species